ensembl:lncRNA
AUGAACAUCACAGUAACAUGUGGAGAUAUUCACACCUCUGUGGGGUUUGUGUAUGUUGUUUUUUCUACUGUCUUCAAUCAUACACUCAAUGCUGACUGUGAGCAGAGCUGGCAUUUAGAGGAUGGAGUUAUGAUAGCAGAUCCAUCAGCUCCUCAAACACUGAUUGAUCCUGUUAUUUCUGUCUCAUCUGAUCGUCUCGUCACGUCUCACUGUGUGAAUCUGAAGCAUGAGAUCCGCUGUGAUUCUGCUGGAUCUCAUUUCAGUCAUGAGAUCAUGUUCAGAGUGUGGAAUGAAACUGCAGUGACUCAAAACUCAGAUGAUCUGAAUGAAGUGACUCCAGAUCUCCAACGGUCAGGUAAAACAGCUUUAAACCUCUUACUAUUAUUUAUUUAUCAUUAUAGAUCAGCUGAUUUGAUGUUGUAUCACUUGUAUAGAUCAGCUGUGGUGGCUUGUGGCUCUUUUCAUCAUCAUUGUUCUGGCAUUUCUCUGUUUCUUGCUGCGUAAAAGUAUCUUCAGGUGUUUUCAGAAGGAAGCACCGAGCAUCUGUCAGCGUGAUGAAGAGAGGUGAGUGUUUCUGUAUCUCAAGUGUCAGU